CAGGAUCCACAGAGGCCCACCUGCACAUCCCCUCAGUCAGUGAUGCAGCCGAUCGGAGGAGACGUCUCCCUUUCUCCUCACCUUCAUCCUUUUCUCUUCCCAUCCCUUUUCACAGUUUUUGAGUGCGUCCAUAAGAUUAAACCACCACACAGCUUCACCACACAGCUUCACCACACACCUUCACCACACACCUUCACUUUCAUGUUCACCAUCAUAAGUAAAAAUCAAUGUCAAAGGAAAUAAAAGGAGUGGAAACGAAA